UACGUAGGUGGCAAGCGUUGUCCGGAUUUACUGGGUGUAAAGGGCGUGCAGCCGGGCUGACAAGUCAGACGUGAAGUCCCGCGGCUCAACCGCGGAACUGCAUUUGAAACUGUCAGUCUUGAGUACCGGAGAGGUCAUCGGAAUUCCUUGUGUAGCGGUGAAAUGCGUAGAUAUAAGGAAGAACACCAGUGGCGAAGGCGGAUGACUGGACGGCAACUGACGGUGAGGCGCGAAAGCGUGGGGAGCAAACAGG
rnacentral:rRNA from 1 species